rnacentral:rRNA from 2 species
UACGGAGGAUGCGAGCGUUAUCCGGAUUUAUUGGGUUUAAAGGGUGCGUAGGCUGAUACUUAAGUCAGUGGUGAAAUUUUCCGGCUUAACCGGGAGGCUGCCGUUGAUACUGGGUAUCUUGAGUUUAGUUGAUGUGGGCGGAAUGUGUCAUGUAGCGGUGAAAUGCAUAGAGAUGACACAGAACACCGAUAGCGAAGGCAGCUCACAAAGCUAUAACUGACGCUGAGGCACGAAAGCGUGGGGAGCAAAC